rnacentral:lncRNA from 1 species
CCAUGGCGACUGGUUCGGCGACAUGGCAUAGUACAAGGACCAGCAAGGCGAGAGAAGUAGGAGACAAGGGCAAAGCAUGCAAACCUGUUGUGGGCUGAUAGACAGGGUGGCCUCAACCGGUGCUAUAGCCGGCGGUGUUUCCUUUUGGGCUGUCUCGAUGCCAUGGUCCUCACUGGUCACUGCAGAGUACUGGCAUGAGCGGCGGACUACACAACCCUUCCAGCGAUGGCAACGGACGAACCGGCGGGAGACACUACAGCAACCAGCAAACCAAGGCAACGGGAGGGGCGGUCAGAGAGAGAGAGAGAGACGGCAUGGUGGCGACCUGCGAGCAUAUGAUUCCUUGUUAAUAAAUAUCAUAUGGAAUUAUGAGAGAAAAAUGAAUAAUCGAAUAAGGAUCAAAGCUGACCUUUUCAAAGUUAUGUGGAUUAAAAUGUAGGACGGCCCACACAACCCUCCCGACGAGGGCGAGGGGCAAGCCAGCAGGAGACACGGCGGUGACCAGCAUGCCAAGUCAAUGGGAGGAGAGGCAGUCAGAGAGAGAAAGACAACAGACAUUGACCUACAAUAGUACAGAGUAGACAGUAAAUAUCAUAUGCCAUUCUGAGGAACAGAGGAAAUGAGCAAUCAAAUAAGGUCCAAAGCUGACCUUCUUAAAGUUAUAUGGAUUCCAAUCUAGAACGAUCUUCUCGUGCCAAUUCAGAGCGAGGUGUGAAGAGUGCACAUCAUCAUCGAAAUAGAAUCUCACCAUAGGUGUGUCUCGCCAUCAUAAUAAAAAAAAUCCAUAACCCAAAUGGACCAACAAAGUGCAAAUUACUCUUUACCAGACUAAAUUAAGAACCAACAACAGAUCGACGAAUGCAACAACAGAUCCAGCACAUAAACGGAAAGAACAGAAGAUUUGCAGGCACAUGAGAUCUAAAAUCAAUCAGUUAUUGCUAUUUUCUUUAUUCAUUAGCCAUGCCGCCAAGUUGCCACAACCUGGUCGCCCCAUCCAGUGUGCAAAUUUACUUCAUAUCAAACAAAAAAGGCACCAGGGACAUGAGAAAGCAUGGUAGACAAAGCAUUGAAAAUGUAAGAGAAAAUGUAAUCAGGAGGAAAGCUAACUAAUCUUGCAAUUUGAUCUGUUCAAUAUAUUUACUUUUCAGUACUGCCUG